rnacentral:rRNA from 1 species
CCUACGGGGGGCAGCAGUCGGGAAUCUUGCGCAAUGGGCGAAAGCCUGACGCAGCAACGCCGUGUGAGCGAAGAAGGCCUUCGGGUUGUAAAGCUCUGUUGUCGGGGACGAAGGGCGAAGGGUUAAUAGCCCCUAGCCUGACGGUACCCGGCGAGGAAGCCCCGGCUAACUACGUGCCAGCAGCCGCGGUAAUACGUAGGGGGCGAGCGUUGUCCGGAAUCAUUGGGCGUAAAGAGCGCGUAGGCGGCCUGGUAAGUCUGCUGUGAAAUCUCGGGGCUCAACCCCGUGCGUGCAGUGGAUACUGCCAGGCUAGAGGGUGGUAGAGGAGAGUGGAAUUCCCGGUGUAGCGGUGAAAUGCGCAGAUAUCGGGAGGAACACCAGCGGCGAAGGCGGCUCUCUGGGCCACUCCUGACGCUGAGGCGCGAAAGCUAGGGGAGCGAACAGGAUUAGAUACCCGAGUAGUCAU